rnacentral:rRNA from 1 species
GAUGAGCGCUGGCGGCGUGCCUAAUACAUGCAAGUCGAGCGAACAGACGAGGAGCUUGCUCCUCUGACGUUAGCGGCGGACGGGUGAGUAACACGUGGAUAACCUACCUAUAAGACUGGGAUAACUUCGGGAAACCGGAGCUAAUACCGGAUAAUAUAUUGAACCGCAUGGUUCAAUAGUGAAAGACGGUUUUGCUGUCACUUAUAGAUGGAUCCGCGCCGCAUUAGCUAGUUGGUAAGGUAACGGCUUACCAAGGCAACGAUGCGUAGCCGACCUGAGAGGGUGAUCGGCCACACUGGACCUGAGACACGGUCCAGACUCCUACGGGAGGCAGCAGUAGGGAAUCUUCCGCAAUGGGCGAAAGCCUGACGGAGCAACGCCGCGUGAGUGAUGAAGGUCUUCGGAUCGUAAAACUCUGUUAUUAGGGAAGAACAAAUGUGUAAGUAACUAUGCACGUCUUGACGGUACCUAAUCAGAAAGCCACGGCUAACUACGU